rnacentral:rRNA from 1 species
AACGAACGCUGGCGGCAUGCCUAACACAUGCAAGUCGAACGAUGCCCUCGGGCAUAGUGGCGCACGGGUGCGUAACGCGUGGGAAUCUGCCUUUCGGUUCGGGAUAACUCAGGGAAACUUGAGCUAAUACCGGAUAACGUCGCAAGACCAAAGAUUUAUCACCGAAAGAUGAGCCCGCGUAGGAUUAGCUAGUUGGUGAGGUAAAGGCUCACCAAGGCGACGAUCCUUAGCUGGUCUGAGAGGAUGAUCAGCCACACUGGGACUGAGACACGGCCCAGACUCCUACGGGAGGCAGCAGUGGGGAAUAUUGGACAAUGGGCGAAAGCCUGAUCCAGCAAUGCCGCGUGAGUGAUGAAGGCCUUAGGGUUGUAAAGCUCUUUUACCCGGGAAGAUAAUGACGGUACCGGGAGAAUAAGCCCCGGCUAACUCCGUG